ensembl:lncRNA
UUUACAAAUGAAGAAAGAGAGACCUAGAAAUUAAACAGUAUACUCAUACCACAUCAUCAGGAAGUGGUAAAGUUUCAAACCUCCAAUCUCUGGCUCAAGGUUUAUUUCCAGAGAUUCUUAGAGCCAGGCUGCUUUUGGUUCCAAAAGACCCUUAGUUGGAUGCAGAGCAGUACGUCAUUUGCUUUAUGGCUGAAGGUAAGCUUAUCCAAGGAAGCAACUGGGAAGACACCCAAGGUAGCCUUGUGCAGAUCCAAUUCCUAUGUUCAAGACAGGAAGAAGAAGGAAGAACCGUGACAACCCAUUUAUGUGUAU